AUCAAUGUGGGCGGAGUCAAACCCGUUUAACCCGAACCCCUCCUUUCGGGUGACCUAAAUAGUUUGGUUCACGUCGACGGUAUCAACGUCAACGAAAGCGAUUCUUAAUUGAAUUUACAUGGAUAAACACAUUGGACAUUAGGUGUUAGUAAAUUUAGUUUUGCCUUUGUUAUUGUUUGUUUACUGUAAAAUGAAGUUGCUCAUUGCCGCUCUUAUUCUUUUCUAGAAUUACAAUGCGUUAUAGCUGUUUCAUUAACCACUACCUCUAUAGUUUUUCAGUAUAAAUCCGACUAUUUUAAAGUCAUAGGUUUGAAAGUUGUAUGUCAAAGUGUGUAUGUUCAUAUUUGAACACAUUUAACAGAUACUGAGGCCACAAGCUAGGGAGAUUUUCUUUCUAGAUCCCCUCCAUGGCACUGGCUGGAGAGAAAAGUCGCACCCAACCAUUCAGGUUUUUCGGGCACCCGGUUUCAUCCCAUCUGGAUAGUGAAACAUUGCUCGAAUCUUGUCCCCUGGACCUUGGAGGACUUUUGGUGUGGGUAAUGUUCAGGGCCUACCAAUGCAAAGUUUCUCAAACAAAUGUGGGGUGUUUGUUUUGAUGCACACUAUUGUGGUGCCUAGUUCUCCUGCAGAACUUUCCAUGUCGUCUGAAGAAGUGAGGUUGAAAGAUCGAAAAAGGAGGCGAAAACAAAACACAGGAUGAUGUAUAUGAUUCUCCCCCAAGAAGUCACAGCAUGUCACAUCAGCCUCCAGCUCUGAAGGAUCAGACAAUACUGAAAACAAAAUGCACGGCGAACUGGGAGCUGUGAACUGUGAAGCAGCAAGGUGGUGCGAACGCCAAACAUUUAAAGGCACCAUUUCCCUCCCUAGUGUAAUUGGGAUGGAGGGGGAAGACCGUAUUACAACCCUUAAAGAACUACGGUUGUAUGAUGGCCUGGAUGAGGAGGAAAAUAUUCUCAUCAAGAAACCAUUCAUGUUCUCAUUCCAGUUACAGAGAUUAGAUGUUCUAUGUGGAGGCAGUUGACAACAAGAAAAUGACUGCCUUUGCCUCUUUUGAGGAGCAGGAGUGAAGCAAUUUUUGAGGAGUGGUCAAACUUUGUUUUUGUCUGCUGUGUUAAUUGUUUCAUUUGUUAAUUGUGUUAUGUUGUUUAGUAAAGAUGACUUAG